rnacentral:rRNA from 1 species
GACGAACGCUGGCGGCGUGCUUAACACAUGCAAGUCGAACGGUGAAGGGGCCUGCUUUUGUGGGUCCUGGAUGAGUGGCGAACGGGUGAGUAACACGUGAGUAACCUGCCCCCUUCUUCUGGAUAACCGCAUGAAAGUGUGGCUAAUACGGGAUAUUCUGUGCCUGCUGCAUGGUGGGUGUGGGAAAGAUUGCGCCCUUUUUGGGUGUUUUUGGUGGGGGAUGGGCUCGCGGCCUAUCAGCUUGUUGGUGGGGUGAUGGCCUACCAAGGCGGUGACGGGUAGCCGGCCUGAGAGGGUGGACGGUCACACUGGGACUGAGACACGGCCCAGACUCCUACGGGAGGCAGCAGUGGGGAAUAUUGCACAAUGGGCGCAAGCCUGAUGCAGCGACGCCGCGUGAGGGAUGGAGGCCUUCGGGUUGUGAACCUCUUUCGCCAGUGAAGCAGGCCUGCUCCUUGGUGGGUGGGUUGACGGUAGCUGGAUAAGAAGCGCCGGCUAACUACGUGCCAGCAGCCGCGGUAAUACGUAGGGCGCGAGCGUUGUCCGGAAUUAUUGGGCGUAAAGAGCUCGUAGGCGGCUGGUCGCGUCUGUCGUGAAUCCUCUGGCUUAACUGGGGGCUUGCGGUGGGUACGGGCCGGCUUGAGUGCGGUAGGGGAGGCUGGAACUCCUGGUGUAGCGGUGGAAUGCGCAGAUAUCAGGAAGAACACCGGUGGCGAAGGCGGGUCUCUGGGCCGUUACUGACGCUGAGGAGCGAAAGCGUGGGGAGCGAACAGGAUUAGAUACCCUGGUAGUCCACGCCGUAAACGUUGGGCACUAGGUGUGGGGGGCCUUUUCCGGGUUUUCCGCGCCGUAGCUAACGCAUUAAGUGCCCCGCCUGGGGAGUACGGCCGCAAGGCUAAAACUCAAAGGAAUUGACGGGGGCCCGCACAAGCGGCGGAGCAUGCGGAUUAAUUCGAUGCAACGCGAAGAACCUUACCAAGGCUUGACAUGUGCCGGUCGGCUCCGGAGACGGGGUUUCCUCCUUGUGGGGCCGGUUCACAGGUGGUGCAUGGUUGUCGUCAGCUCGUGUCGUGAGAUGUUGGGUUAAGUCCCGCAACGAGCGCAACCCUUGUCUCGUGUUGCCAGCACGUUGUGGUGGGGACUCGCGGGAGACUGCCGGGGUCAACUCGGAGGAAGGUGGGGAUGACGUCAAAUCAUCAUGCCCCUUAUGUCUUGGGCUUCACGCAUGCUACAAUGGCCGGUACAGAGGGCUGCGAUACUGUGAGGUGGAGCGAAUCCCUUAAAGCCGGUCUCAGUUCGGAUCGGUGUCUGCAACUCGACACCGUGAAGUUGGAGUCGCUAGUAAUCGCAGAUCAGCAACGCUGCGGUGAAUACGUUCUCGGGCCU